rnacentral:rRNA from 1 species
GAUGAACGCUGGCGGCGUGCCUAAUACAUGCAAGUCGAACGAGAGCCAUGAGCAAUCGUGGUUUUAGUGGCGGACGGGUGAGUAACACAUGGCUGACCUGCCCUUCAGAGGGGGACAACAGCUGGAAACGGCUGCUAAUACCCCAUACGCUCGUGAGGAUCAGAAGGCUCACGAGGAAAGCCUACGGGUGCUGAGGGAGGGGGCUGUGGCCCAUCAGCUAGUUGGUAGGGUAACGGCCUACCAAGGCGAGGACGGGUAGGGGGCCUGAGAGGGUGACCCCCCACACGGGCACUGAGAUACGGGCCCGACACCUACGGGAGGC